GAUAACUCUCUGUUAUCUCUGUUAUAUUUACAGUACUCUGGAUACUUAUAGUUUAUUGAAAUAUAAAACAGGCUUAAUAAUUUACAACAAAUAAUUGAUCUUAAUGUGUUUAUGGUCAGCAAAGCAUAACUUCAAGUAGACGAGAAAUGUGAAUCCUGAGACCCAUGGUUUGCUGCAGUGAAAAGCUUGCUGUAGUUUUCUCUGGACAGCUUUAUGUCUGGAUUUGGGACAUCUCAGCAUGAGAGAGACAUCUUUACGGCCAGUGCUAUCGGAAAAAUACAGGGCAGGGUCUGCAAAGCUUGCAGGCAAAAGCUGGAGAGAUCUCCCUACUCUUGCCUUGUCCACAACACCAAAGAGAAGAGCUGGAGGAAGCCACUGAAAGCUUCUGCUCUUUCCUGUGUAAUACAUAGGUAAGCCAUCCAAAGUGUCCAAAUCAUGGGAUCAGAGAAUGAAAUUAACGGAACAUCUGGAUAUAUAGUUAUGUAUGGUGCCUUUUUCAGUCCCCAUUUAUAUCCAAAACCCCCUCAUACCAAGCAGACAUACACAUCAACAUGAUAAUAUAUGGCAUGAAGCCAAACCUCUCCCACACUUUCGUAUAUCUGUUUCUCUCACUGUCUUUCACUCUGACACGCAACUAUACACACCUCCAUUUCCCUCCUGUCCUCCCUUAACAUUCAAAUGACAAGCAUUCCUUCUUCCCUGUGCUUCCGCUGAAAGAGCCUUCCUCUCUUGUACAGAACUGUACUGUAACCUCACCGCUUGUGUUACCACCCCUGGGACAAACAGGUGAUAAAAUAGGACUCUGGCCAGCCAGCUCAUCCUCCCGCAUCUCUUUUAAUGAGCACAGAAAGGGAGAGCUGGGACAGGGAAUGAACUCCUUCCCUUUGAACACACUAAUUAUCCAGGAUGAUUUACACAUUUGUUUGCUUGGGAAUUUG
ensembl:lncRNA